rnacentral:rRNA from 1 species
AGCUCCAAUAGCGUAUAUUAAAGUUGUUGCGGUAAAAAGCUCGUAGUUGGAUUUCUGCCGAGAAGUGCCGGUCCGUACUAUGUACGUGUAUCUGGUUUGCGUCUUGGCAUCCUCUCGAGGGGCGUUACUGCGCUUCAUUGCGUGGUGCGUGACUCGAGACUUUUACUUUGAGGAAAUUAGAGUGUUCACGGCAGGCAAUCGCCCUGAAUAUAUUAGCAUGGAAUAAUGAUAUAGGACCUUGGGUCUAUUUUGUUGGUUUCUAGAGCUGAGGUAAUGAUUAAUAGGGAUAAUUGGGGGCAUCCGUAUCAAGGCGUCAGAGGUGGAAUUCUUGGAUUGCCUUGCGACGAACAACUGCGAAAGCAUUUGCCAAGGAUGUUUUCA